GAAAUGCGAUAAGUAAUGUGAAUUGCAGAAUUCAGUGAAUCAUCGAAUCUUUGAACGCACAUUGCGCUCGCCAGUAUUCUGGCGAGCAUGCCUGUUCGAGCGUCAUUUCAACCAUCAAGCUCUGCUUGCGUUGGGGAUCCGCAGCUGCCCGCGGUCCCUCAAAAACAGUGGCGGGCUCGCUAGUCACACCGAGCGUAGUAACUCUACAUCGCUAUGGUCGUGCGGCGGGUUCUUGCCGUAAAACCCCCAAUUUCUAAGGUUGACCUCGGAUCGGGUAGGAAUACCCGCUGAACUUAAGC
rnacentral:misc_RNA from 1 species